AACGAACGCUGGCGGCAUGCCUAACACAUGCAAGUCGAACGAGACCUUCGGGUCUAGUGGCGCACGGGUGCGUAACGCGUGGGAACCUGCCCUUAGGUUCGGAAUAACUCCCCGAAAGGGGUGCUAAUACCGGAUAAUGUCUUCGGACCAAAGAUUUAUCGCCUUUGGAUGGGCCCGCGUUGGAUUAGCUAGUUGGUAGGGUAAAAGCCUACCAAGGCGACGAUCCAUAGCUGGUCUGAGAGGAUGAUCAGCCACACUGGGACUGAGACACGGCCCAGACUCCUACGGGAGGCAGCAGUGGGGAUAUUGGACAAUGGGCGAAAGCCUGAUCCAGCAAUGCCGCGUGAGUGAUGAAGGCCUUAGGGUUGUAAAGCUCUUUUACCCGGGAUGAUAAUGACAGUACCGGGAGAAUAAGCUCCGGCUAACUCCGUG
rnacentral:rRNA from 1 species